rnacentral:rRNA from 1 species
UACGGGGGGGGCAAGCGUUGUUCGGAAUUACUGGGCGUAAAGGGCGCGUAGGCGGCCUGCUAAGUCGGACGUGAAAUCCCCCGGCCCAACCGGGGAACUGCGUCCGAUACUGGUGGGCUCGAAUCCGGGAGAGGGAUGUGGAAUUCCAGGUGUAGCGGUGAAAUGCGUAGAUAUCUGGAGGAACACCGGUGGCGAAGGCGGCAUCCUGGACCGGUAUUGACGCUGAGGCGCGAAAGCCAGGGGAGCAAACGGG